UGGGGAAUAUUGGACAAUGGGCGCAAGCCUGAUCCAGCCAUACCGCGUGUGUGAAGAAGGCCUUCGGGUUGUAAAGCACUUUAAGUAAGGAAGAAAAGUAUAUUGUUAAUACCAAUGUACCGUGACAUUACUUACAGAAUAAGGACCGGCUAAUUCCGUGCCAGCAGCCGCGGUAAUACGGAAGGUCCAAGCGUUAAUCGGAAUUACUGGGCGUAAAGCGCGCGUAGGUGGUUUAUUAAGUUGGGUGUGAAAGCCCCGGGCUCAACCUGGGAACUGCAUCCAAAACUGAUUCACUAGAGUACGAAAGAGGGAGGUAGAAUUCACAGUGUAGCGGUGGAAUGCGUAGAUAUUGUGAAGAAUACCAAUGGCGAAGGCAGCCUCCUGGUUCUGUACUGACACUGAGGUGCGAAAGCGUGGGUAGCGAACAGG
rnacentral:rRNA from 1 species